GACGAACGCUGGCGGCGCGCUUAACACAUGCAAGUCGAGCGAGAACCGGGGCUUCGGCCCCGGGGACAGCGGCGAACGGGUGAGUAACACGUGGGUAACCUGUCCUCGGCGCCGGGAUAGCCCGGGGAAACCCGGAUUAAUACCGGAUGGCCCCUCCGACCUUCGGGUCGGCGGGAAAAGGUAGCUUCGGCCUCCGGCCGAGGAUGGGCCCGCGGCGGCUUAGCUUGUUGGUGGGGUAACGGCUCACCAAGGCGACGAUCCGUAGCUGGUCUGGGAGGACGAUCAGCCACACUGGGACUGAGACACGGCCCAGACUCCUACGGGAGGCAGCAGUGGGGAAUCUUGCGCAAUGGGCGAAAGCCUGACGCAGCGACGCCGCGUGAGGGAAGAAGGCCUUCGGGUUGUAAACCUCUUUCAGUAGGGACGAAGCCACUCGGGUGAAUAGCCCAGAGGGUGACGGUACCUACAGAAGAAGCCCCGGCUAACUACGUGCCAGCCGCCGCAGUAACAC
rnacentral:rRNA from 1 species